rnacentral:rRNA from 1 species
UACGGAGGGUGCGAGCGUUGUCCGGAAUCACUGGGCGUAAAGGGCGCGUAGGCGGCCUGAUAAGUAGGGGGUGAAAUCCUGCGGCUUAACCGCAGGGCUGCCUUCUAAACUGUCAGGCUGGAGCACAGUAGAGGCAGGUGGAAUUCCCGGUGUAGCGGUGGAAUGCGUAGAGAUCGGGAAGAACAUCAGUGGCGAAGGCGGCCUGCUGGGCUGUUGCUGACGCUGAGGCGCGACAGCGUGGGGAGCGAACAGG